rnacentral:tRNA from 1 species
GGGAAUGUAGUUAAUAAUAACAUUUAAUUUGCAAUUAAAAAGUAUCUAUAAGAUCUUUCUCA